UUCCUUAUGUCUCAGAUCUAAAUAUUGGUCUCAGUGAAUAAAAAAUAAGGGAAAAUAAGACUGAAGUGGACUUGGAGUCUAUAGUGGCAUACAAGUUCAUUUCAAACAUAU
rnacentral:snoRNA from 1 species